AGUUUGAUCCUGGCUCAGAUUGAACGCUGGCGGCAGGCCUAACACAUGCAAGUCGAGNGGCAGCACAAGGGAGUUUACUCCUGAGGUGGCGAGCGGCGGACGGGUGAGUAAUGCCUAGGGAUCUGCCCAGUCGAGGGGGAUAACAGUUGGAAACGACUGCUAAUACCGCAUACGCCCUACGGGGGAAAGGAGGGGACCUUUCGGGCCUUACCGCGAUUGGAUGAACCUAGGUGGGAUUAGCUAGUUGGUGAGGUAAUGGCUCACCAAGGCGACGAUCCCUAGCUGUUCUGAGAGGAUGAUCAGCCACACUGGGACUGAGACACGGCCCAGACUCCUACGGGAGGCAGCAGUGGGGAAUAUUGCACAAUGGGGGAAACCCUGAUGCAGCCAUGCCGCGUGUGUGAAGAAGGCCUUCGGGUUGUAAAGCACUUUCAGUAGGGAGGAAAGGUGAUAGGUUAAUACGGUACUAUCUGUGACGUACCUACAGAAGAAGA
rnacentral:rRNA from 1 species